CGCCUAUUAACAGGAACGGGCACAGGGAAGGGAUGAAUAAUGAGCUCAGGGCCUGGAUUCGACACAAAUUACCAGGAAUUUUUUGGACAGGAAAAAUCCUUGAAAGCCUCAGAUCCCUUUGGUUUGGAGGGUGGAUUACCAGCAGUAUCCUUCACCCAUCACCAACCAUCAGGAAUAAAACCAUUGCUGAAAUGCUGAGUUUUAUUAAAAUCAGUGAGCACACGAACUCUUGUCUGGAUUAAACCAGAACUAUAAAUCUUGC